UGAUUGUGUGUGUUUGAUAUAGUCAUGGGAAAUCAGAAUUUAGCCAACUUGAUAUUCUUUUGCAAUACUAUUUGGCCCCAAUCUUGUUUGGAAUCUGGACUUUGCUGCUGAAUGGAAAAGUGGGAUGGAGUUGCAUGGAUCCAGGCUUUUGUGCUGCUGUUCUAAGCAGAGUUGGGCCUGGUUAAUAUGUGAUGUUUUCCUUCGGUGCUGUUUAGCCCCAGUGUUCUUUGGAGUCCGGGGAAGUUUGGCCUUUAAAAAUCAAACUGCCAUGGACACUGCUUUACCCAAAAUUUUGGUUCACAUUCUUCACUGGAUUAACUAUUGGGGCAAACAACGUAUAACCAUGUAAAACCAGUACGCUUGUAUUGGCAUUUCAUGGCUAGAGUUCUAAGUCACAAGCACCUCUUCGGCAAAGCCCACCUCCCUCUCUCGCUUGAUUCCCCGGCCAUCCUUAUCAAAGACCUUCCAGGUGAACAGGCAGCCAUCCUCAGCAGCAGUCAGCAGGAACUGAUCAUCAAAGAAACUUGCAAAAAUAGCACAGAGAGAGUGGACUUCUGGAAUGGCACGGCAACAAAAUUCCCUACGGCAGCACCCAAAGGCUUGAAAUUAGCCAUUCCAAGUGUGUCCAAAAAACUAAAGGAAACCAUGAUUAAACAAGUAAAGGUAGAAAUGAUAUGCAUCAAAUAGAGAAGAAUAAAAGGAUCCCAUCAAUAUAGGGAUAGAACUGUAAGAAAAUAGAAAUUCUAGAGUUAAAAACUACAAUAACUGAAAUGAAAAAUCCACUAGAGGUGCUCAAGAAUAGAUCUGAACUGGCAGAAGAAUUAGUGAACUUUAUAGAUCAAAAAAGAUUAGCAAUUUGAAGAACAGAGAGGAAAAAGAAUUAGAAAUUUACAGAGCCUCAGAAAAAUGUGGGACACCAUUAAGCACACCAACUAAUGCAUAAGGUGAAUGCUAGAAGGAGAGGAGAAAGAGAAAGGAACAGAAAAAACAUUUUCAUAAAUAAUUGCUGAAAAUAUUAUAAAUUUAUUGGGAAACACCAGUGUACACAUAUAGGAAGCUCAAUGAACUCCAAGUAGGAAAAACACAAAGAGUUCCACAAACAGACACAUUUUGGCAAAAAUAAUGAAAGCUAAAGAUGAGAAGAAAAUUUUGAAAGCAUCAAUAGAAAAAUGACUGAUCACUUACAAAAGAGUCCCAAUAAGAUUAAUAGCAGAUAUCUCAGCAACAACAACGGAAGCCAGAAGAGAAUGGGAUAACAUGUUCAAAGUGCUUAAAGAAAAAGCUGUCAAACAAAAAUCCUGCAAAGCUAUCUUUUAGAACUAAAGGUGAAAAAAAAUUACCAAAAAAACUGAAAAAAUAUGUUGCUAGCAGAUAUGACUUACAGAAAAUACUAAAGGAAAUCCUUUAGGUUGAAAGCAAGUUACUCCAGAUAGUAAUUCAAAUCCACACAAAACAAAGAGCACUGGUAAAGCCAGUAGACAAGAUUUGACUCUGGAGGUGACGUCUGAGCCAAUAGGUAUUUGGAGUCUGGAGAAAAAGCCAUGCUAAUAAAUUUC
rnacentral:lncRNA from 1 species